UGGGGAAUAUUGGACAAUGGGGGAAACCCUGAUCCAGCGACGCCGCGUGUGUGAAGAAGGCCUGCGGGUUGUAAAGCACUUUUAGUGGGGAGGAAAACCCCUGACCUAACACGUCAGGAAUUGACUUAACCCAAAGAAAAAGCACCGGCUAACUCU
rnacentral:rRNA from 1 species